UACGGAGGGUGCGAGCGUUGUUCGGAAUCAUUGGGCGUAAAGGGCGCGUAGGCGGCCUUCUAAGUCGAACGUGAAAUCCCCGGGCUCAACCCGGGAACUGCGUCCGAUACUGGAAGGCUUGAAUCCGGGAGAGGGAUGUGGAAUUCCAGGUGUAGCGGUGAAAUGCGUAGAUAUCUGGAGGAACACCGGUGGCGAAGGCGACAUCCUGGACCGGUAUUGACGCUGAGGCGCGAAAGCCAGGGGAGCAAACGGG
rnacentral:rRNA from 1 species